AUGUUACUCCCUCCGUCUGGAAAUACUUGUCGUAGAAAUGCUUAAAAAUGGAUGUAUCUAAGAACUAAAAUACGUCUAGAUACAUCCUUUUUCCGACAAGUAUUUCCGGACGGAGAGAGUACAUA
rfam:Triticum aestivum genome assembly, contig: Triticum_aestivum_CS42_TGACv1_scaffold_513490_6BS